CAACCUGCCGUCUACUCUUGGACAGCCUUCUGAAAGGAAGAUUAAUACAAGAUGGCAUCAUGAGUUCACAUGUUCACAUGAUUAAAGGUAUUCCGGUAGACGAUGGGGAUGCGUUCCAUUAGAUAGUAGGCGGGGUAACGGCCCACCUAGUCUUCGAUGGAUAGGGGUUCUGAGAGGAAGGUCCCCCACAUUGGAACUGAGACACGGUCCAAACUCCUACGGGAGGCAGCAGUGAGGAAUAUUGGUCAAUGGGCGAGAGCCUGAACCAGCCAAGUAGCGUGAAGGAUGACUGCCCUAUGGGUUGUAAACUUCUUUUAUAAAGGGAUAAAGUCGGGUAUGUAUACCCGUUUGCAUGUACUUUAUGAAUAAGGAUCGGCUAACUCCGUGCCAGCAGCCGCGGUAAUACGGAGGAUCCGAGCGUUAUCCGGAUUUAUUGGGUUUAAAGGGAGCGUAGAUGGAUGUUUAAGUCAGUUGUGAAAGUUUGCGGCUCAACCGUAAAAUUGCAGUUGAUACUGGAUAUCUUGAGUGCAGUUGAGGCAGGCGGAAUUCGUGGUGUAGCGGUGAAAUGCUUAGAUAUCACGAAGAACUCCGAUUG
rnacentral:rRNA from 1 species